GACGAACCGUACGAACGUUACUCGGAAUCACUGGGCUUAAAGGGUGCGUAGGCGGUCCGGUAAGUCGGGUGUGAAAUACCUCAGCUUAACUGAGGAAUUGCGCCCGAAACUGUCGGACUCGAGGAAGAUAGAGGUGAGCGGAACUUAGGGUGGAGCGGUGAAAUGCGUUGAUAUCCUAAGGAACACCAGUGGCGAAAGCGGCUCACUGGAUCUUUUCUGACGCUGAGGCACGAAAGCUAGGGGAG
rnacentral:rRNA from 1 species